CCGCCCCGCCCCGCCCCUCACGGGCCUGAGGGCGCCGGGCCCGCCCGGGGGUACCGGAGCGUUCCCCGGUUUUUCCUGCAUCUGGAAUUAGGACUCUGGGUGGUUAAUGGAAGGAAUCAGCAUAGGAAUCUUCUCAGCAGCUGCUGUUCCCAGGAGAGGUGAUGCAUUGGAAAGGUAAAAAUGCUGUCCUGAAGCCUGCAGCUUUCCAUGGACUUGGAUAUUUCAGUGUUGAGCGUCUUCCUGUUAUGACUCUGGCACGGGAAUGAAAAAUACAUUCAUGAGGGACAUGAAAAAUCCAUGGAGUCUCAGAGCAGUAUUUUAGUGACACGACAUUUCCUGGCUGACCUGAGCUGAAGCCACAGACCCUUGAUGGCUCCUGGAGGGAGCAGUGACAGGAAAAGUCUUUUUUUUUUUUCCUGAAGUCUGCUCCAGUGGUUUCCAACUCAGCAGAGUCCUGAAGGUGCCACCACCCCGUGGCUGCUCGAUGGCACGUGUGAAACAGCUCCAAAGGGUCUCAGCUCAGUUCCCAGCCUCUCUCCAAGCACCUUUGUCACUCCAGGAAGAUCCAGGUGGAUCCUUUGGAAUGAAUUAAGUGCUCACACGCUGCUAUGCAGAGGUUUUAUAGCAAAUUAGGUAAUUUUCAUUUGCUGUUUGCAAUUUUUUGCUGAUAAUUUCUUCUUCCUUGUGCUCACCUGCAGCCCUCAGGUGAAACACAAGAUUUUUGGGGCAGCAAACCCAGAGUCCCCCCGCACAGAAAUCAGUGGGAGCGUUGUCAGGUCUCUCCCUGCAGGUGAACCACCAAGUCCUGGUGGGAUUUUUCUGUUGGGAGGAGUUUUUUGUGGCACCGGCGUUUUCUGCCUCGGACGCACGGUGGCGAUGGAAAUCCCCUUUUCCUCCAGAGCUUUGCAGUGCUCGGUAACCACACGUGUGUCCCCGAGCAUGGAAGGAUGAAAUAUUUCUGUUCAAUCCCAAAUAAUCACUGACAUUUCAAGUGGCCGAAGCUCCAGAGAAUCCAGAAAACUUUUUCCUAAGCAUUGAUAUUGUUUAAAUUAAGAUGUUUAUGUUUAAAACAAGAGCAAGUGGAGCCUCUAGGGCUGGUGUUUUGUUUUAAAAAGUGAUCUGACCUUUCUCUCUGCUCCUGGCUGCCAGGGCACGAUUGGUGCCAGGCUGGCAGUGUCACCGACCCCCUCACCCGGGGUGAUCUGUCCUGUGUUUGCACUGGGGCUGUCAGCAGAGCCUGGUCAGGAGAGGUGGAACCAGCGUCACAAAAGAAAAUGGAGUGGCAUGAGUUUGCAGUGCACAUGCUUGGACGUGGUGGAAUGAGAGUAAAUAAAUGUGUCCAGUUUUGGAGCAGGGCAGGAAAAGGAUGUGCAUUUACCACCCCUCCUCCAAAGAACAACGUGGUUAUGAUUCAAAAAUUUCAAAGAAAACUAUGGAAAAGGAUGUCUGAACCCUGUGAAAUAAUUAAAACACGGAUUAUUCCUGCCCAGACUUGAAUCCCACAACCAUCCAGGUUGGAAAAGACCUCCCAGAACGUGGCUUGUCACCCAGCCCAGGGCACUGAGGGUGCCACCUCCAGGGAUGG